rnacentral:lncRNA from 1 species
GAGGAGAAAAUACAGAAAUGAAUCUUGGAGGUCUUAUUUUUAUCAUUGAAUAGCUGUCUACCUACCUACCAAUCUAUCAUUAGGCUGAAUGAGCCUAUUUAUACAGGCUUGAUGACUUUGAAGGUUGUAAUCAUUGUAUUCACAUGAAACGAGUUUUUACAUAAUUGCGGUUUUUUGUGUUGAAUAUAUUCCAUGCCUAUUGCUAAGCACUGUGCUUUCUUUUUUUCUUUUUCUUUUUUUGGACAUAAACAUCGGGCUAGAAAUCCUCUGAUUGAUUUGCUGUGAAGUUCUUCAUUUGGUGACUAAUGCAGAUGUACCGGAUGAGCCUGGCAAAAUCUCUGACCCUUUCUGGUCUUCUCUAUUGUUUCUCACAUGAACAGUCCCACGGAUGCCACUAGAGGAUGAAGGCUCUUAUUCUGGAUAUCAGUCCACUGUUGGAGGUACAGUUGGCAAGGACUUUCUUCCAUCCUGUGAGGCUGCCUCUUCACUUCACAGCUUCUUUCGCUCUAUAAAAGUUUUAAAAAUUAAAAAAAAA